UUUUUUUUUUUUUUUUUUUUUUUGUAUGUUCUAACUUUUUCUUCCAAAAAAUGACCAAACAUGGAAUUAACUUUUAAGAGGACAUUUCGGGUGUAUACUAAGUUAUUGUAGUAUGUGGAUUAUAAUAAAAUAUGUGUUAUUAUAGUUUAUAUUUGUGAUACAAAAUAUUAUAGUCUAGGUUUGAGGUGUAGAUCAGUAUUAUAGUAUGUGUCGUUUAUGGUGCAAAUUAUAGAUAUAAAAUAAAUAUUGGUUAUCCUUAGAUCUCAUGUCUAUAUUUUUUGCACUAUUAUUUUUUUGUCAUACAUAUGUGUAGGUACAUGAGACGAUCCAUUUUUGAAAAACAUUGUUCAAACUACAUUUUCCACAAAUUUAUACAAACUAGUUUAUUACUAGGUGAGAUACACUUGUUAUAAAAUUUUAUAAUAUAGUCGUCUUUUUUGUAGAAAUUGAUAUGUUUACUUUACUAAAUCUUGUGAUUCAUGUUGUCCUUUUGAUAUUAUCUAUAUAUAUGAUAAUUAGAUUUUACUUGGUUUUGAAAUAAAAUUUCAUCGAUCAUGGUUUAAUUUUCUUUUCAAUCAUAAGAUGCUAACUUCAAAUUGAAAUAAGGUUAAUUAAUUUACAUAUAUAGAACAAAAACCAAAACUAUUUAAUGGCCCAUGUAACAAAAAUUAAAAGUUCAUGAAGCUUCCAUUGUAUUUUCAUAAAUUUCAAAUUUGCUCUUUUUGGUUUUGAAUUUUGCUUUGAAUGUAUGUGCAUCUUCUUCAUAUUAUUACUUCUUAUUUUUCAUAUUCCCACUUCAUCUUGUUCGCGAUUGCUUCAUGUCCUCCUCGAUCCAGAAUUUCUUCCUUUCUUCGUCAUCUUUCAUUUUUUUCUUCUUCUUUCACUACUUGAUCGUGUACCAAAGUCUAAGCGAUGAGUCACCUAUUCUAGAUAGAUAGAGAUAGAUCACUAUAACUAUCUACUCUUGAUAGAUAAGUGAUAGAUCUAAACGAUCGUUUACUUAGAUUCUAAGCGAUCGUGUACCAAGAUCAGUUUGUGAUUUUGUGCAAGAUCGUUUAAAUUUGGUACAAGAUCUAGAUUUUGUGCAAGAUCGUUUAGAUUUGAUACAAGCGAUCUUUCGUUUAUCCUAGAUAAACACAGAUACAUCACUAUCACUAUUUAUCCCAAAUAGAUAAGUGAUAAAUUCAAAUGAUCGUUUACCAAGAUCUAAACGCUCUGUGCCAAUAUCUAAUAGAUCUUUUAGACUAUAGUACGAUUAUUUAAAUUAGAAGUUUUUUCGUGCAUCCUUGUAGUCGAUUAAUCGCGAGGUAUUUUGUUAUUUCAUGUUAUGGGCAUGUGAGCUUUUUUCUUUUUCAAGAUUGUUAUAUACAAUGUAAUAUUUUACUGGUUUGUUAUAUAUUUUUUUAAAAAAAACCUUGAAAUAAACUAUUUUAAUCUUAAAAUUAACUAUUGGAAAAUUAUAAUUUUUUUUAUCAAAAUAUAUUUGAGGAACAAAAAAUUAUAAAGUUUGAAUUUGAAUAUUAUUUGGCCUCUAAGUUUGUUUUCAACAUUGUAAUCUUUAAGUUUAAAAGAUAACUUUAAGUACUACUACAAAAAGGGGUUACUUGACAUUGCAUAUCAAUGUCAAGUACUCGACUGUCAAGUAUGAUCAUUUGACACAAGAAAAACAUGAAGCCAUAUAUUUUCAAACAUAUUUUUCGUGUUAGGUAAGAUAGUAUACUUAACUCUUUUUACAUGCUAAGUUUGUGGAUUCUUCUAAGUUUGUGGAUCAUAUUUGGUUACUCUUGACAUUUUAUUUCUGUUUAAUAUACGGAUACUUGACACGAAAAAAUGGACACGUUAUUUAACUCUUCACAUGUUUUUAAUGUCAUGUAUAUCUUUUAUUAACAUAUUAAAUAUACUAAACUCUCAAACCAUCAUUAAUUCUAUAGCCACCUAUUUUUAUCCUACACAUAUAUAUAUCUUUUUUUUAAAUACUAAUAUUAGUAAUAAUUGCUAAAUUAUUUAUUUAUUUACUUUAAAAAAGUUAAAAAAAAUUAAUAAUAACAUAAUAUCUUAUAAUAUUUAAUUUUUAUCAUUUUAGGAAACAAAAAUAAAUCAAUUUAUUUUUUAAAAAUCUUUUAAUAUCAUGUUUGUACUAUUUUAGGGAAAAAAUAAUGAAUUUGUUUUAAAUAAAAUCUUAUAAUAUCAAUUUUGACUUACUAAAAUCAUUUUAGGAAAAAAGAAAAUCAAUUUUAAAUAAAAGUAUUUUAAUAUUUAUUUGAUGUAUUAAUUUAUUUUUCACAAAAUCUCAAAAUAUCUCAUUUAAUUUAUUUUAGGAAAAUGAAAAUUUGUUCUAUUAAUAUAAUAUCAAAUUUUGAUUUUAUUCUUAUUACUUUUUCCUAAUUUGUGGUAUACUCCGAGUCUAUAAAUAAUGAUCAUGUCAUUUAAAAAAGGGAUAGUUUUUUGUAACAAAGAAUUCUUUGGAUGAAAAUUUUCUUACAAAAAAUCUUUAAAGGUAAGUAUUUUUAUUUUUUAUUUAUUUGUUUAUUCCUGCUUUCUUUUACUUUCAUUGUUAUUAUUAUUUUUUCUUAAAAAAAAACCUUAGUCUUUUCUUCUCCCUUCAAAAGAUCGAUUCCCAAUAUUUUUUUAAAAAAAUAAAAUCUCAUCUUACUUGCUUAAUUUAGGGUAUAUUAUAUUUGAUUACAUUGUGCAUUACUUCCUAUUUAUCUAAUUUUGAAGAUCUUUCUUAAAUUUCCUUUUUUAACUGUUUAGAAAUUUUUACUUUACAACUAUUCAUUUUAAUUUUUUUUAAAAAAUGUUUAAAAUAUAAAUCUAUAUUUCAUAUGUUUCCUUUAAUCAACUUUUUUAAUAACUCACUUCUAUUUUGCUAAAAAUAAUCCUAUGAUGGAAUCUAGGAAAUUUGAGAGUCCGAUUUUCUAGAAUUCUUAAGGUGAGGGAUCACAUCUUUGAAAGUCCGAGAUUUAAUCCCAAGAAAAAAUGAAUUUAAUCAAUGUUUAAAAAAAAAUCUUUAUUCAAAGACUAGCCUAUGAUAGAUUUUGGGAAAUUGUAAUGAUUUCUCAUUUUCUUAAGGUGAGAAAUUUUCCUUCAAUAUAUAGUCUAAUUAAUGGAAUAUAAUUCCACUUAUUUUAUGAGAUCAUUGCUUCAAAUAUUGGAGUAAUGAUGGAUGAAAUAAAACAUUAGUUUUAAAAUAAAUUUAAAAAUAUUUGCAAUUCAAGAUUUUAAAUUUGGCCACCGUUUUUCUAAAUGGGUGUUGUGGAGUGCUAAUACCUUCCCCACACACAAAUGACUCCAAAACUCAAUUCUAUUUUUCACAUGCUAUUUUUUAAAAAUUGUUUAUUUUAUUUCGGUUUCCAAUCACACCGUAAAAAAAAUUGGUGGCGACUCUUAUUUUAUUUUAAAACUAGCUCUUUUGAGGACGUCGGUCUCUCUGCGUCGUUUCGGACACGUGCCGACAAAUUCCAUUUUGUUAUAGAGUUUGGUUGGCUUAUUUUAUUAAAGGCAAAAUUGAAGCAUAAAUUCCUUAUGGUUAAUAUUUUAUUUAGGUUUGACUGCUAUGUUGAGUUAAUAUUUAUUAGUAAAUAUAUGGUUAAUAUUUAUUACUAAAGAUAAAUAGAUUGGUUCGGGUUGUUACUAUAUAUUCUCUCAAGUUGAUUAAUAUUUAUCAAUAAAUAAUAUGGUUAAUAUUUAUUAAUAGAGACAUGGAGUUGUAUUUGGUUAUUUUGACCUAGAUUACAGCUUGUGGCUUUGUUGGUUGUGUGGUAUACUUAUGUAUGUAGAAGACAAAAGUGCGGUAUAUGUGCAACAAAUUAUGUAUUGAGAAAGUCUUUUACAAAGUACGCUUUUAAAUGAUGUGUAGUGUUGAUCAUAUUGUUACUGUCAUUGUGAAGUACUUGUUUGAGAAGAUUUUUAUAAGUUAGGGGAAGCCUAACAUUGAAGAUUAUUUUGAGGAAUCUUUCACAGUGAGAGCUUAGACAUUGAGACGUUGCAAUAGUGAAACAUGAAGCAUGUGAUCUAGGGGGAGCCUAGAUCGAGUUCCUUGUUCAUACAUCAAGUGGUUAGGGGGAGCCUAAACAUUUAUAUUGUAAAAGUCACAUAUAAUUCAAAAUAGCUAAUUGUUGAUAAGUUAUGUACUUGUGAUCCUCUUCAAUCUUUUAUAAAUGAUUUUUUCAAUCGAGCUAAAGGUCUCCCAAAUGUAGAUGUUGUAUCGUCGAAUUGGAUUAACAAUGUUUGGUGUUCUAUAUGUCAUUAUCGCUAUUCGUUUCUUGAGUUGUUCCUUCAGUUGUUAUUAGCUCACAUGUUAACUUAAGAUAUCAAGUUAAUAGAAUAUUUGUUUUUCUCACAUUCUUCAACAAUAAGUCAUAUGUAUAGAACUCAACAUUCAAGAAACACAUUAAUUAAUUCACUCUAGUUACACAACAAAGAAAGUGACAAAUAGUUUAAUAUAAUAAGUAACUAGCAAUAAUUCCAUUCUCCAACAAUAUGUAAUAAAAAGUUGUACAAUUCCAACCCAAUAUUGUUGGAACACGAGACAUUCACGGUAGAAAAACAUGAUCUAUUUUAUUCUAAUUACAUCUAAACAAUUUAGAAAGCAACAUGCUACAAAUUAAAUACCCUAAUUAAACAAAAUUAGGGUUAAAGGAAAACGUACCUUCAAAGCUUUUCAAUUCUUGUAAUCUUCUCACGAACACGAAUCUGGAACAACCACUAGUGUUGACCCGCUAUUCUCGAGACUUAGAACUGGGUGGUGGGACCCUAUUAGUGAAGAAAUUUGAGAGAGAAAAUAUGAAUUUGGAAUAAUUUUAUAAAUAAAAAUUACAAAAAUUUUCAAAAGUCUUAUUUUCAAAAGUUCUUUUAAAUAAUCUAAUUACAUGCAAUUAGUUCAUCAAAUUUCAACACCUAGUAUUCGACUAACCAUUAGUAAAACUUAGUAGGUUAGGUGUUUACAUCUCAAGUAGCCACUUAUCCCACUAAGGGUGUGUUUGGUUGGAAUUUUAAGGUGUUUAAUUUUGUUAAAAAUUUAUUUUGAUAACAAUUGUAGGGUUUGGCAAAGUCUAAAAAUUCAUUUUAGAAAAAUCCUUAAAAACCAUCUUUUUACAAAAUGAAUUUUAAAGUGAUUGAUAGGGAAUUUACCAAUUUUUUCUCUUAUAUGAAUUUUACGAAAAUGCCCUAUAUUGGAAUUGCGGGAAGAAAACAUCUCCUUUCUCAGGUAUUGCCUUGUUGAUUCUUCUUCUUCUUCUCUUUUAUCUGUCUGUCUCUCAGUGUCUUUAAAAUUCAAUCCCAUCAAAGUUAUUCCUUUUGAAGAUCGAAACUGUAUCUACAAAAUAGAACCAAAACCAAAACAAAAGGGGUAAUUUGUUUCUUCUCUGGGUCUUGCUACAUUUAAGAUUUCAUUUUGUUCUCAAGUUCCUUAUUGUUUGUGUUGUGAAUGAAGAAAUGUAUGUUGUCUCUGUUACUUACCGUUUGCUCCAUGAAUAAUUGAGCUUUGUUCUUUACUUCGAUGCACGUUUGAGUUCGAUUUAGGGUGGUUUAACAUACUAAACUUUGUAUGUUUAGGGUAGUUUUAUGAUUAUGAAUUUAAAUAUCAAUAUACUUCUACUUCUAAAAUAAAACUAUCUAAAACAAUUUAAUACGAAAAAAAAUAAUACUUGGUUUUAACUUUAGUAAUUUCAAAAUUUUAAAACAAUUAGUUUCAAGAGAUCGUACAAUUAAUUUAAAAGUAUAUUUCUUUUUAAAAAAUCAAAAUAUAUAUGUAUUUUUUUUUUAUGAAAUUAGGUCAUAAUCUUUAGUAAUCCUUUAUGGUAAUUUGAGUUAAGUAUAAACAUUUUUUUUGUAUAUGACAAACCAAACAAAAUUUACAUAUAAACACUUAUAAAAAAGUUUAACCAAACAUGUAAAUGUUAAAUUUUAAACUCAUUUUUAAAAACAAUGUUUAAAAGAAAAUGUAUUCUUGAAAAUAUUUUAUCGUUAAUUUAAUCUAAACGAACCCUAAAUGUUAAUGGGAUUAUCCAAUAAAAUAUUGGAUUUUCUACUAACUUUGGACAAUAUGGUCAUUUAACUAUUCAAGUCAAAGUCAAAAGUCAACAUUUUAACUUUUUACCAUAUUAUCUGCUUUGACUAGUUUCUUCCUCCUGAGCAUGAAUCCCCAUUUAUUUUUUCAAAAUUCAAAUCAUAUUUAAAUAUAAGUUGGUCAAAGUUUGACUUUUCAAGGUGAAAAGUCAAACAUUUUGAUUUUUUACAAUUUUGACCAUUUUCAUAAUAUUUUAGCUUUCAAAUAUGAAUCUGCAUUCAUAUUUUUAUAUUUAAAUCAUAUUUAAAUAUAAAGCUCUAUCUUAAACUUAUAAUUGACGACUAUAUCACAUAUAUUUAUCGGUUUCUCUCUCAUGGCCUAAUUCGAACAAAUUGAAUUAUUCAAACAUAUUUUUCUAAGUUAAUUCCAUACGAGCUAGGAGGGGAACCUAAUGGACCUAUAGAUCAUAGACUCCAACAAUCUAUUAUUAACUUGAUAAACUCUUUUAGACCGAGCUAAUUAAUAUUUAUUAACUAACGGGUCAUUCGAUUAAAGUCUUGUAGUUACACUCCCCUCACUAUAGAUAUAUUUGUGUCCAUCUAAUAUAAUCAUGAUCAAUAAGCUAAUCCUUCACAAGUUGUUCAUAACCUCAGCUUGAUCAAAAUAUCGUUUCACCGCAAGACUAUAUCUUGGUCUUUAAGUCUCACAGAUCCACUAUUGAACAAGACCAACACUAUUGAGAUUAAGUUUUAGUUACACAGGUCAACCGUCACCUAUGUAAAUCUAAGGAUAACUUCGUUUGAACAGAAGUUCUUAGUUAGCUCAAUAUUAAGAUUAAGUUACCUAGGUUAUUAAUAAUCGAAAUAAUAUGUUUUAUACAGUUAACAGUGUUAUAACUUAAAAGUGACUAUUUCAUGAUUUUAGUCUUAUCUCUUAUGUAAACUCAUUACAUAGUAUGCCCCCACUCCCAUGUCUCUACAUGAACGGUUCAUAAUCAUAUUGUUUGUACUAACUAUGAAGCGGCCUAGAUCUAUAGUGUCCAUAGAAUAAAACGUACACCUUAUUCAUAUACUAUAGACUGUUUAGGCUAUAUACUCAAACUCUUGAUCUACAUUUAUGUCUCCACAUAAAGUUCAAGUCUACACUAGAUAGCCCCAUGACUUUAGUUUAUUGAAUUCAAAAUUAUAAUAUUCAAUUUUCAGAAAUAAGUCGUAAUUAAUAACAACUUUAUUAAAUAGAAUAUAAUUUUAAACUACAAACUACUACGAGUUUUAGGACAUCAAUUCCAAAAAAUAUAUCAGACUAAGCUUUCAUAUAUGUGGCUUAUUCCAAAAUUUACAAUAAUAUAUCUUCUAUCCAUCCCUACCAAAUAUGAUAAUUCCAAAAUUACAAGACCAAUCCACACAUGGUAUACAAAAAAUCACAAGACUAAAUUAUACCCUCUACAUCUUUUGCCAGAAGUUGCGAGCUAAAAACUCAUCCUACUCCACUUAUAAUUCAUCCAAUUAAGUUGCGAGUAUGAGCUCCUUGUAUAUUAAUCUAUAAAACAUAAGAAGUCAUGGACACACUUUGUUAAAAAUGAAAAUUGGUCACAUUACACUAUUUAUAAUGUUACAAUGUUAGCAGUUUAAAAACAUACCCACAUCAAUGAUAAUGCUCUUAUCCUUAGUCACGAUGUCUCAUCAUAGAUUUACACAUAGACUACAUGCAUUCAAGAUCACCUUCCUCCACAAACAAAAUCCAACAAUAUUUACUAAGACUUUUUCCCAUAGUGUGCUAAUCUUAUAUCCCUCAAACUAGAUUAAAGUCAACCAACCAAUCAAGCUACACUCAAACAAACCAUUAGUCAUAUUCUACUUUUAUUUAACAUUUAGCCAAAUGUAUACCCAAGUCUAUACUAUAAAACAUAACACAAUAUUAAAAGGGUUAAGAUUUAGGGUUUGGAUGGGAAAAUGAAACAUGCACAUUAGACAGAGAUAAGACACAUAUCUAAGAGAUUGUUAUGUGACAUGUUAUUGAGAAGUAACUAAAAAUAUAGGAAGGAGUAAGAUUCAUACCUUUGAAAGGGUUAGGGUUUCACACCUAAAGGUGUUAGGAAUGAUGGAGAUGUUUGGCAGCGUCAAAAUCAAUGAGAAGUGUUAGGUUUCGACAUGGUCAGUUCUAAAGACAUGGUUAAAAUUAGCGAGCGAUGUUGUGGUGUAGAUGGUGUUCCAAAGAGUUGCAGUUUCAACGGUGUUCUGACCAUGUUAUGAAGACAAUGUAGUUAUGACGGUAGACAUGGUUAAAAGAGUGGCAGUUUCGAUGAUGUUGAGGUUUUGACAACAUUCCACGACAAAGAUGGGGCAUGGAGCACGAGAAAGGGAAAAAAGGGGAAAAGGAAACAUAGGAAAAUUUUAGUUUUUAAAAUUAUUAUUAUUAGUAAAGUAGGUGGGAAAAAGAAAUUUAAGAGGAAAAAUUUGGAGGAAAUAAUGCUAAGGCUUGAGAUUUUAAAAAAAUAGCAAUUAAAACUCAACAUUACUCUUGAUACUUUUUUCGUGUAAAAUAAAUAUUAACUACUGUGAGGUCUAAAUCUAAAAAAGAGAGUCCUGUUGAAAAAGAGAGGCACCGAGGAGUGGGAUGAUCCUUCUAAAGUGAAAAGAUUGAUCAUUCUAAAGAUAAGAUUUAAAGGGAAGGAAGCAAGUCGCGUUUGGAAAAGGCAAUGAGGGAGGGCUGUUGCAGCGAAGGAGUUCUAUUGCAAGAAGAGUUGAGCUAUCUAGAGGAGUAACACGAAGCGAAGUCAGAAAAGAAGUAAGCGGUUAUGGUCUGACGUGAGAAAGAGAAGGUGAGGAAGAAUGAGGUAAAAAAAGUUUAGUUUACCAAUAAGGAGAAGGCGAAAAAGAGUUUAUUUUUUCGAAAAGAUAAGAUUAGCAUCCCACUAAAAGGUCCACAUAGGUUCGAAUGUACGAGCUCUAAGGGUACUUUUGCUUUGAGACCUUUUCCAAUAAAAAGAUCUCUUGGUCAUUUUCCCUUCAAGACAAGAUUCUUAUUGAGAGAGUUAUCUUCUAACUGAUUUAGAAGUCCACUCUUAACUAAUCUCCCAAUUGCAUUGAGACUUAUGUGACCAAAUCUUAAUAUCGCAUAUGGAUGUUAAAAGAAACAUUUUGUCUUUUAUACUAAACAAUUAAGUAUAGACAAAUUUUGCUUUAGUUAGUCUUAACUUAUAUAAAUUGUUCGCAAGUAGAACAAAUUAAAAUUGAAUAUAUUAUCUAGAAAGAUGAUAACUUCAUAAUUUCAAAAUAUAUUUAAUACAUUUGUUCCAAAGUACAAGAAAUAGAUAUUAAAUUUCUCAACUGUUUGAGAAGCAUACAAAACUUCUUUAAGGUAGUAUGAUAUAUCUAUCAAAAUAACUUUAGAUCUUCCACUGCUUCAGCCGAGACAACCUCUUUUGUUUCAAACUUUGAGGAUGAUCUCGUCUUCUGCAAGCUUUACAAGAACUAGUUUCUUGAAAUGAGAAGUAAAUAUGAUUAGAGGAUCCCAGAUCUAGUACUUAGGUUGAAGUAUCAUAUUCUACUAAGCAUGUUACAACAACUAGUAAAUCAUAUUUACCUUGUACUUCCUUCUCUUCUUUCUUCUCGACAAGGUAUUUUGAGUAAUUUCUCAGCUAAUACCCAUUCUAAUUGUAGUGGUAACAUUUACCUUUAGCAACUUUCUUUCCCUUAUUGUUCUUGGGAGUUUUUCCCUUUGCCUUCUUCAUUUGUGAAGAUCCAACUCUAGUCUUAGAGGACAGUCCUCCCACUAACUACUUCUCUAUGGUCGCAACAUUUGCUUGAACUUCCUUCCCUUUACCCAUGGUAAGGUUUUGGAAUUGUUAGAGCUCAUUUAGAAAAGUGGUUUAAGGCCCAACCUUUAAACUGAAUCCCUCUCGGGCCAAUGAGAGGGUGAGGCCCCUUGUUCAAGACUUGGAUUCAGUCUUUAAGGGAAUAACUUAUCUACAAACCCUAAAGCGGGUAGGUAUGAAUUUUGUCUUGCACCCUAUGUCCCUAGCUAAACAUAAAGUUCAAGUUUACUCAAUAAUAACCUCGGGUCCUUAGUUUAUUGGCUUUAAGAUUAUAGUAUCAAUAACGACUUUAUUGAAUAUAAUAUGAUUUAUAAACUACGAGUUUUAGGACAUAAAUUUCAACACUAAAAUUGUGUGAAACAUGCAUAACACUUGUAAAGUGUUUUUUUAAGUACUUAUGCGUUUACAACACAAGUUACACAUUUUGAUUAUCUUCUUGUGCGUUUUAACCACAUUAUUCUAAUAUAAGGAGCUAUAAUAACGGAUAUUUAUACACGCUAUCACGUCAUGAUUGUGAAGAAUGAAGGGAAAAAAUACUUUUCAAAUAAACACAAUAUAUAUUACCAUAAUAUCUUCUUCCAACUUGUCUAACUGUUGUGCAUUUAGUACCUUGUUGCAUACUAAACUGAAAAAAAAAUAUGCACAAUCUAGUUAGGGCGCGAACAUGUUUCAGUAGCAUCGAUCUUAUCACAUUGGGAAAGAACUAUUGUCUAAGCACAUACAAUCAUAAGAUUUCACACUAUUAAGUUUUAAAUUUGUCAUCGACAUAAGCUUUCUAAUAUUAAAAGAGUAACCUUUGGAAACCUUUGUUUUAAACAAAGUCUUCAAAACACAUAAUUUUUCUUCUUUUGUAAGAGUAUAACACAUAGAAGGAAUGAAUAUUUUCUUUUCAUCGUCGAUAGGGAGAGCUCUGAUUGAAUUUUUAGAUGAACUAAAUCACGAUUAGCAUUCAACCCAUCCUUACUUUUUUCAAGAAUAUCAAGAAGCAUACCUAAGAUAUUUAUGCAAAUAUCUUUUUCAAUGUGCAUCACAUCUAAACAAUGUCUGACAUGAGAAUCUUUCUAGUAUGACAACUCAAAAAAAGAAGAUAAUCUAUUCUAACAAAUCUUUCCACUUCCUUUCACUAACUACUUAUAGUUCUUCUUUCCUCUCGAAAAUUUAAGAUCUUUCAAUUUUAAAUACACAGCCUCCCUAAAAAUUGGUUUUGGAACUGUACCAAGUCCUCUUUUUACUGUUAAAAUGACUUAUUUUGUUGUUCGUACGAAUGAUUGCGUGCUAAAAAUCUUUGAUGUUCUAGUGAGCUCAGUAUUCUUCAUUUCACUUCGUUUUUUUCUUCUUUGUGAUUUAUUCUUCUCCUCUUCAUAUUAUUACUUCAUAUCCUCACUUUUUCUUGUUUGCAAUUUCUUCAUGAUUUCUUCUUCUAGAAUUUCUCCUUAUUGUUUUUUCUUCUUGGUACAAGAUCUAAACAAUAUUGGUACAUAAUCUAAAUGAUAAUGUACCAAUAUCAAAACGAUAGUUGUCUAUCCCAGAUAGACAGAGAAAGAACGCUAUCACUAAUAUAUCAUUUAGGAUUUGAUACAAGAUUGUUUAAACUAGAUACAAUGGUAUAAGAUCGUUUAGAUUUGGUACAAGGAUACAAGAUUGUGUAGGAAAAUCGUUUAGAUUGGUACAAUAUCGGUUUUUUCACAUGCGUGAUUGAUUAAUCACAUAAUAUAUUUUUGUUAUUUAAUUACAUUGUAAACUUGGGCUUUUUCCAUUUUAAAAAUUGUUCUAAUGGUAUCACAUUAUUUAAUUUAUGCACACAUAAGAGAGUUCCAAUAUAUCACAGCAUUCAAACAAUAUUGUAGUCAAACACAUAACAAUAAAACUUUAAUUAACUUUAAAUAUUAUCAUCCAAUAAUCACAAAUAAUCCAAACACACAAUAACAUUGUGUAUAAUAUGUAUACUGGGUGGCCUCGAGGAUUAAGGUCAAGGACCUUGUUCUCUUUUAGGUGAUUGAUUAUUUUUAUUAUCUUCUUCCACUUUUUCGGAAUUAUUCAACUGUUCAAGUGGGAUGGGAUCAUCACUUCUCCUUUUAGGUGUCUUCCUGAAAAUGGCACGGAGCAUAUCAUAGAAAAGAGGAAGUUGCGAUAUGAUGAAGAAUAAUGCAACGGGGAGAGAAGUAGCAAGGUAGAUGAUAACCGCCGUAUUUUGAAGGCGAUGACUAAGUAGAAAGUAGUGGCCUGCACAAAAUGAAACCAACAUCGCGAC
rnacentral:lncRNA from 1 species